rnacentral:snRNA from 1 species
GUGCUUGCUUCAGCAGCACAUAUACUAAAAAAUUGGAACGAUGCAGAGAAGAUUAGCAUGGCCCCCGUGCAAGAAUGACACACAAAUUUGUGAAGCAUUCCAUAUUUCU